rnacentral:rRNA from 1 species
GUGAGGAAUUUUCCGCAAUGGGCGAAAGCCUGACGGAGCAAUGCCGCGUGAAGGAUGAAGGCCUAUGGGUUGUAAACUUCUUUUCUCAGAAAAGAAUUAUGACGGUAUCUGAGGAAUAAGCAUCGGCUAACUCUGUGCCAGCAGCCGCGGUAAGACAGAGGAUGCAAGCGUUAUCCGGAAUGAUUGGGCGUAAAGCGUCUGUCGGUUGUUUAAAAAGUAUUCUGUCAAAGAUUAGGGCUUAACCAUAGAUAGGGAGAAUAAACUUUUAAGCUAGAGUGUGGUAGAGGCAGAGGGAAUUCCCGGUGGAGCGGUGAAAAGCGUAGAUAUCGGGAGGAACGCCAAAGGCGAAGGCACUCUGCUGGGCCAAUACUAACACUGAGAGACGAAAGCGAGGGGAGCAAAUGGGAUUAGAUACCCCGGUAGUCC